CGGGUGAGUAACGCGUAAGUAACCUACCUCUAAGUGGGGGAUAGCUUCGGGAAACUGAAGGUAAUACCGCAUGUGGUGGGCCGACAUAUGUUGGUUCACUAAAGCCGUAAGGCGCUUGGUGAGGGGCUUGCGUCCGAUUAGCUAGUUGGUGGGGUAAUGGCCUACCAAGGCUUCGAUCGGUAGCUGGUCUGAGAGGAUGAUCAGCCACACUGGGACUGAGACACGGCCCAGACUCCUACGGGAGGCAGCAGCAAGGAAUCUUGGGCAAUGGGCGAAAGCCUGACCCAGCAACGCCGCGUGAGGGAUGAAGGCUUUCGGGUUGUAAACCUCUUUUCAUAGGGAAGAAUAAUGACGGUACCUGUGGAAUAAGCUUCGGCUAACUACGUGCCAGCAGCCGCGGUAAUACGUAGGAAGCAAGCGUUAUCCGGAUUUAUUGGGCGUAAAGUGAGCGUAGGUGGUCUUUCAAGUUGGAUGUGAAAUUUCCCGGCUUAACCGGGACGAGUCAUUCAAUACUGUUGGACUAGAGUACAGCAGGAGAAAACGGAAUUCCCGGUGUAGUGGUAAAAUGCGUAGAUAUCGGGAGGAACACCAGAGGCGAAGGCGGUUUUCUAGGUUGUCACUGACACUGAGGCUCGAAAGCGUGGGGAGCGAACAGAAUUAGAUACUCUGGUAGUCCACGCCUUAAACUAUGGACACUAGGUAUAGGGAGUAUCGACCCUCUCUGUGCCGAAGCUAACGCUUUAAGUGUCCCGCCUGGGGAGUACGGUCGCAAGGCUAAAACUCAAAGGAAUUGACGGGGGCCCGCACAAGCAGCGGAGCGUGUGGUUUAAUUCGAUGCUACACGAAGAACCUUACCAAGAUUUGACAUGCAUGUAGUAGUGAACUGAAA
rnacentral:rRNA from 1 species